GAUGAACGCUGGCGGCGUGCCUAAUACAUGCAAGUCGAGCGAAUGGAUUAAGAGCUUGCUCUUAUGAAGUUAGCGGCGGACGGGUGAGUAACACGUGGGUAACCUGCCCAUAAGACUGGGAUAACUCCGGGAAACCGGGGCUAAUACCGGAUAACAUUUUGAACCGCAUGGUUCGAAAUUGAAAGGCGGCUUCGGCUGUCACUUAUGGAUGGACCCGCGUCGCAUUAGCUAGUUGGUGAGGUAACGGCUCACCAAGGCAACGAUGCGUAGCCGACCUGAGAGGGUGAUCGGCCACACUGGGACUGAGACACGGCCCAGACUCCUACGGGAGGCAGCAGUAGGGAAUCUUCCGCAAUGGACGAAAGUCUAACGGAGCAACGCCGCGUGAGUGAUGAAGGCUUUCGGGUCGUAAAACUCUGUUGUUAGGGAAGAACAAGUGCUAGUUGAAUAAGCUGGCACCUUGACGGUACCCAACCAGAAAGCCACGGCUAACUACGUGCCAGCCGCCGCCGUAA
rnacentral:rRNA from 1 species